AACCAAGCUCAGAGAUGGAGAUCAGCGUCAAGAAGGGCUCUUCGGAACCCAACUUAUAACGAAUAUGGUUCUUGCCUUUUACCAGAACCAUCCGGGCGUUGUCUCACACAGGUAAUGCUGCAUCUCUGGCUUCAUUAUAUUUUUUGGAACCUUUCU